rnacentral:tRNA from 2 species
AGCUUUAUAUUCAAAGAUGAUAUAAAAUUGCAAAUUUUAAGGUGUAAUAAUUACUAAGGCUU